AGUGCGACCGCGCGGGGAGUCCCGGAGGCGCGGCGGGAUGUGGGGAGGGGGGUGCUCGAGGAGCGCGCGGGGGCAGGCGAGUGUCUGCGCCCCCCGAGGCGUCGAGGCUGGCGGCCGAGACACCCACGGACCCGCACGCGCGCCCCUCCGCAGGCUUCCGCCGACGCCGCGACACUGCCUAGAGCAGGCCGGGUAACCCGGGUCGGAACGGGGAGCUCCCCGGCCGCGGGCAGGGCAAGGCCGCCUCCCCAUCCCCUCCUCCGCUCCAGCGCGCGCUGCGGAGCUUCGGGAAGGAGCCCCGAUUGGGGACAGUGCGAAGAGGGCCGUUUGUUCGCCGGCAGCCGGCCCUUCCAUCUGCGCCGCCCGCCAAGCCAGAGUUCCUCAGACUUCUAGCCGGCAGCCGCUGCACAUCAAAGACGCUGUUUAUUUGGCUUUCUGAAAAGGAGGAAUGAACAAAGAAAAAAAAGCUGGGGGCCGGUGGAGGGGCUGGGGGCAAGAGAAGGGUAUCUAAUUGGGCUGCUUUGCAGACCUAAUGAGAUUCGAGGGAGGAAUCGUUCGCUGCCACUGCAGAAUAAACUGAUACAUUACUACCAGCCACAGGUUUCGAGGACCGUA